AACUGCCUCUGAAUCUAAAAACUUGAAGUUUAAAAGAGUGAGUAUAAAACUCAAUGAGUGAACAUAAGAAGAAAACAAACAACCGAUACGAAAAGAUUUUAAAAUUAUGAUGCACUUUUGUUAAAAACAAUGCAAUUUAGUUUAAUUUCUUGUAAAACCCCAUAAUUCGACCUUUGAUUAUUAAAUCCCUUAGUGUUGAAAGAUCCAUGAUAAACCAUGAAGUUGAAAAGAAUGAAAAUUUCAACAAAUGUCUAAGCAAGACAAGCAAAACAAAGGGUUUCUCGCUGCAGCGAAAAGGCAUUCUUGGUUUGCAUAUGUUUUGGUUUUUUAAUCAUAUCUUCCACUAAAAAAAGUCCAAUUGAAAUGAUUUUUAAGUCAUUAGAAAGCUAAGAGGCUGGGCUACAACUUUGAUGUUUACCACUUUGCCCAGUUCUAAUCGAAAGGUAGUCAAAAUCAUUGUCAAAGUAAAAACACUGUACCAUAAUUUUGGAACCACCUGAGAGUUUCUCGCUACAGUAAGAAUCCAUUUUCGCUGUAGCGAAAUUCCUUGUUGCAGCAAAAUUCAGAGCAUGGAUUAAGGCUGCCUACCCGAGAGUUUCUCACUGUAAUGAAAAUGAAGCUCGUUACUGCGAGAAACAGAACAAUUUAGUUGAAGAGGUCUUGUUACAUCAAAAAGCCAUUUUCUUGCUGAAAUGAAAAGCAAUUUAGGAGCAAUUAACAAUGCCAACAUACAACACAGUCACAAAUAUUUUCAUAAACUUUCUAUAACAUAUAUAUAUAUAUAUACAUACAUCAUCAUGCAUACCAUCCCGCCACACUCAGCUCAUGUGCACUCCCUACUCGCACAUAGCCAGGUCAUCAUCAGUUCAUGUGCACUCCCACACUGCACAUAGCUGGGUCAUCAUCAGCUCAUGUGUACUCCCACACCGCACAUAGCUGGGUCAUUAUUAUCACACAAAAGGAGGAUCCAAAGCAUAAUAUACAUAAUGUGAUAACACAUGAACUAUUUAUAUUGUACAUUUCACAAGAUAGAAACAUUUCAUCAAGGGCUUGCUCCCCAAGUAUAUUUUUUUAAAGCAAAAAUAAAUGAAACUUUCAAAUGAUUUAUUUAAACAUGUAGAUACUUCCCAAAACAUUUUGAAAUGCAAGUUCACUUACCUUACGAUAGUAGGAUAUUACAUCGCUAUUUGUUCGAAGGCAUAUCUCGCUAUUCCUACUUGCCGAUCGCUCGUUAUUUCCCCCAACACACUACCACAGUACACUACCUUUACUGUUGCACUUCUUAGCAACAAUCCCAAUUCAAUAUCUUUAGCUUACAUCAUUUAUACUUUCCUUUUUCAUUCAAUCACGAAUCCUUAUUCAACUUAACUUUUCUUGACACAAUUUUUAUCAAAGUUGUUUUUAUCCCUUGCUUGCGUAAUUUUUUAAAUUAUAAUUACCAGCAACUUGUUUAUGACUCUAACACAUAUAUUAAUCUUUUCUAAGGAUAUUUAUCAAGUUCAACCAUCUUUUCCACAACAACCACAAUUUCUCACAAUAUACCACUUAAAAUGUCAACUACACAACAAUACCCAAUUUCUCAAGAUUCCUCAACCACACUUAAAACAUCAUUUGUCUUUACCUUUAUGGUUGCUUAACCCGUACUUGCACUCCAAUAUUCCUUCAAAACAUUAAUCAUCAAGCUGCCAAAAUGAUUCACACAUUAUUUCUCCAAAGAUUUAACCAACCAUGAACUUAAAGCACAAAAAUCCUUACCUUAGCUUGCUUGAAUUACAAAACCAAGCUUUUCUUCCUUUCUUUCUUUUUCUUUCUUCUUCUCCUAGGGUUUAGAUGUGCUGGAAAUUGGGGUUAGAAGCUAUAGGUUUAGUGCCCAAGAAAUUUGGGAAUCACAUGAAAAAUUUUGAUUUUCAUGAACUUGAAAUCAAAAUGGCGUUGGAAGCU
rnacentral:lncRNA from 1 species